GCUACUAAAAUAAUUGUUGGGAAUUCAAAAUAUUUCUCUAAGCAGGAUGACUAACAAAUCGUCUCUACAAGGGGAGAAGAAACUGACAAACAUUUAUAUAGUGUUGAUGCUAGCCAUUGACCAACAUCAGCUAGAAGCAGAGAGCAAGAGAACUCAAAUGGAACACUGGGACAACAUCAGGCACAGGACACACAGAAAGAUAAAGAAAUGUGAUUGGAUUUGGGGAGCAAAACAGAAUAUUCAACACACAUGCUAAGACAGGGCAACUUGCUCUGAAAGAAAACAAA
rnacentral:lncRNA from 1 species